AUUUUUUUACAUCUUUAGUAAUUUCAGUGGAACUGUAAUUGUGUUAUUGCUAUUUGAUUUAUCUUUACUCAAUCAAAACAACACAACUGCAAAAUUAUUGAUAUUGCCUGAGAUACACAAUUAAAUGACAUUAAUGUUUUUAAAAAUUGAAAUAUAGCGUUUU